UUAGUUUUUUAAUUGAAAGCUUGKAUGAAUGGKUGGACGAAAUAAAAACUGKUUCMUAAUAAUUUUUUUUAGAAUUUUAUUUUUUAGUUAAAAAGCUAAAAUUUAAUUAAAAGACGAGAAGACCCUAUAGAUCUUUAUAAAGAAAAAUUUAAUUAUUAUGUAGAUAAAUUUUGUAAUUAUUCUUUUUUUUAUUUUAUUGGGGUGAUAUUAAAAUUUGAUAAACUUUUAAUUUUGAAAAAUCAUUAAUUUAUGAAUUAUUGAUCCAUUAAUAUUGAUUAAAAAUUUAAGUUACCUUAGGGAUAACAGCGUAAUUUUUUUAGAGAGUUCUUAUCGAUAAAAAAGAUUGCGACCUCGAUGUUGGAUUAAGAUAUAAUU
rnacentral:rRNA from 1 species